rnacentral:tRNA from 1 species
GUUCCUGUAGCGCAAUGGAUAGCGCGUUGGACUUCUAAUCCAAAGGUCGUCGGUUCAAAUCCUACCUGGGAUG